GACGAACGCUGGCGGCGUGCCUAACACAUGCAAGUCGAGCGGAGGCGCCUGAAGAGCAAUCGGAGGGUGUCUGAGCGGCGGACGGGUGAGUAACGCGUGAGCGAUCUGCCUUUCACAGGGGGAUAACGCAGCGAAAGCUGCACUAAUACCGCAUGAGACCACGGUACUGAUGGUACAGGGGUCAAAGGAGAGAUCCGGUGAGAGAUGAGCUCGCGUCCGAUUAGGUAGUUGGUGAGGUAACGGCCCACCAAGCCAAUGAUCAGUAGCUGAUCUGAGAGGAUGAUCAGCCACAUUGGGACUGAGACACGGCCCAAACUCCUACGGGAGGCAGCAGUGGGGAAUAUUGGACAAUGGGCGCAAGCCUGAUCCAGCCAUGCCGCGUGAGUGAUGACGGCCUUCGGGUUGUAAAGCUCUUUUGUCCGGGAAGAUAAUGACUGUACCGGAAGAAUAAGCCCCGGCAAACUUCGUGCCAGCCGCCGCAGUAA
rnacentral:rRNA from 1 species